AGCUGGAGGGCUGAGGUGUGAGUACCUGACAAGCUGAAUGCUAAGGUCCCUCUUCCCCAACUUGGCAACCAGCAUCCUGAGCCCAGAAGAUUAUUCCCCAGGGACUCUGACUAGAUUCAAAGAAAAAACCUAAAGGAAGUGCAGUGGUCCUCAACAGAGGUCUCACCUAGACAAUGUGGCUGUGUAUGGAAUUCCAGGUUCAACCUCACUUAAUGAGGGUCUUUUCAGUAUGUUGGUCUCAAAUUUUACUUCCCAUGCAGCUUUUCUCAGGAAGUCAUUAAGAACAAGGGAAUAAACCUAUAACAAGGUAAAGAUGGGCCACAGGAAACAGGAGAUCAAAUACAGAGGAGGGCAAAAGAAUCUCCAGAGAGGGGAGAUCCCAACACCCCUGCUGAGUUUCACAACAAAGGGUGAACAAGUGUGACCCAAGGGGCAGACAUAGUGUAGAAAGUAAAAAGUUUCCUCUUCAAAGUUUUCCUUCUUGUUAAAGAAUAAAUCAUAAGUGUUAGAAAUAACAGUUUCUUUUAAAGACUAACUUUCUUCAAGUCUCCUUGCCUUGUGCUAAUAACUCUUUGUUAAGCCCUAUCCUCUGUAACCGUUGGACAUGCUCACAGGCACGUUCCAGCCCACAGUCUACGCCCCUUCCUUAUUUGGAAAUGUUAUUGCUUCCUUAAACCUUUUGUAAGCAACUUCUUUGUUCUUCCCUGCACUUACCUAUUUAGGAAAGUUUUAGGCUAUUAGCAAAUCGGGUAUCAGUUUAAGAUUGUGAGGUCCCGCUCCAGCCAGUGGAUGCAGGACACAGCAGUAAGGACGACCCAAGUGCGUAAGGGAUAAAUAUGUCUGCUUUUCCUGUGUUCAAGUGUGCUCUCACCUUUGUUCCAUCUGCAACUGAGCACCCUUUCUACAGAAAGAAAAGAUGGCCUUGCUGAGAUACCUUUUGUCUCUGUGCUGACUUUUCUUCGCAGCACCGAUUAUCUAUUUCUAACAAUUUUGGUAUUUCUAACACAUAUUGAGGCUAUCAUCCUUAAGUCCUUGCUGCCACUGACCAUCUUUUAAACCUAUGGCGUCGUGGCCCAGAAUCUUAUCUACGCUCAGCUUGUCUUCACCAUGUACAGGUGAGCCUCCUGUACACCACCCAUGCCCACCCCAAAGACCAGCUGAUGAUGCUCACUCCACAAAUAACUGCUUUGACCUUCUGCAAGCUGGAAGGAAGCUGUCAGCUCAGGCAGGAAAUACAGAGGAUCCCACUUCCUCUGCCCAGAUUUCUGCCGCAUCUCUGGUAUACAUCACAGCCCUGGCUGAUGCAUACGCUAUGGUGAGCCUCAUGUUUCCCAGGACUCCCUAGUGACCUUGGCCAGUGACUACCUCAGAAGGGGUUCAUGGAAGCCGAAGCCAGAACAUCACUAUGUCUACACACCUUCAGAUCCUCUGCAACACAGUGUCAGAGACACCGUCAUGGCCUCAACAAAUUUGUCAAAGCUACGACACAAACCAUGCAUAUCUAUCCUCAGAGAGAGAGAGACAAGAGAGACAGAUGAAGAAAACUUAUAGGUUAUGUUUGAAUGCCUAAAGGAAAAGAAAAACUCAGAUGUAUUCAGGUGUACUUACAAUGAACAAUUCUGAAAAAUAAAGCCCAGCGAUUUUUGUAUUUUUUUCCCUUGCACUUUACUUUUCUCUUCCCAAAUUACUCAGGAUUUAAAAGGUCACAGCAUAACCAUGUCCAAUGCCUAGUGCUGCCUGCCCCACCUCCACUCCUGCCCCCAAGGGCUUUACAGCAAGUGCUUGCAUUCACCUGGUAUCGGUCAAGGAUUCUGAAGUCCUGACAGGUGGUUCUGUACGUGGCUUGUCCAGCUGGAAGUCUGGAAAUUCCUCCU
rnacentral:lncRNA from 10 species